UGACAAUUAUGAAAUAAUUAUUGAUGAUAUGUAAAUUUUAGUCUCGUGACUAGGAUCAUACUCUCGAUAGGAUUCCACAAUUUCCUCCAUUUAGCAAGAAAUCUUUAAAUAGUGAAAUCGAAUUAAAUAUUCAAGAAAAAAAUGGAAAUGUAUCUUAGUUUUUGAAUGGCGGAGGAGGAAAUCCUUACAACUCGUGUCGAUGUGACUCGAAAAUACGCUUUCAGGUUCGGUCAUAUUUAGACCUUAAUUUUAAAAUAUUAUUUCGGACUAGAGUCCAUUCCUGUGGAUCUGGCACACAUUCACUCGACCCUAAAAUAAGAGUUCGAAACGGGUUGAAUGUAGGAUCGGAUAGGUCCAACAAUAAAAUGGUAGAUCGAGCCGAAUUCGAAAAACUUACAAUCGUACCCUAGACGUCUUACGCAUACAUUUACAUAGAGAAAAUGUGGUGGCCAGAAGAUUAGUACAUCAAAAAUUCAACGGGCCAGGGACGACGCGUAAAACUUUAAGGAGCGG